CUAGGAGCGGAGCAGAAGAAGAGCAUGAAUAAACGCUGGUGCUAAACCCGACACAACACAUGCUCGCUCAGAGCACGGGGAGAACAGAGGGGAGAACACAGAUUCCUGGGACAUAACAAUGUAAAUCUUAGUUUAAUCCUGACGCAUGGCAGUAGUUUCAUUACAUUCGGUAGAAGUUCUCCAGCCCGUAGAGAGCUGUGAACGUGGUGCGGUCUACGAUGCCAAUAUUGCUGACAGAAAUGUCAACAAUGAAGCCCCUCGGAGUGCUCCUGAAUUAUAGGUACUUUCAGAUUUCAAAGCUGAAGGAGAUGAACUACAGUGGACUCAAGCUCAACAAAUUGUGCCCAAAUCUGACCUUGCAGGAGGAUUAUUCAAUGUAAUUCAUCUGACCUAAAUACAGUUACUCCUGAAGUGACAGAACGAGGGCAAAAUUUAUAUAAGCAAGAGACAGGAGAAUGAGAUGGAGGUGGGGCUUUACCAAGAAAGGUUUGUAGAAUCCCCCUCUCAUAUCUAAUAUCCCCGCACAAACUCUGUCUCUCGGUUACCUCCUCUAGCUGCCCCUCAUGCUGAGGAUCUUUCAAAUUCAGCAGUUGAGGGCAAAGCAGAGAACUAACGUAGAAUUUUUCCUGGCAGUCUCCUCACCUGUUUUCUUCCUAUUUGUGAGCAGCAAGCUGCAUUUUCUGCAGCAUUUUUUCAUUCAACAUUCAAGCCAGGGGCUAGCCAAAGCAAAGAGACUAACAAACUGCUGCACGUGCAAAGGCACAAAUACACACGGUGUAUUAUUCCAACAGCACCUGCAGGCUUUGAAACUAUAACAAGACAAUUUCUUUUAUAUUUUAGAAAAUGGAGAACAUGGAGCUUUUUGCACUGAAAUUGACACUUGUGUAACACAGGGAGGAGCAAUAUUCCCCAGGGCAAAUUCAGUUAUAUGCAACAGUUGCUAUCAUUUAUGGUUUCUUGGAGGAACACAGAACCAUUCCUAAGUCCCAGUCACUAACAGACAGGAGGCAGCAAUUGCUUUUUCCCUGUGUCACGUGAAGAAAGACUGUAACUGGUGUGCACAUCCGGCACCCAUAAAAACUCCUGUGAUCCAAAAAAGACAAAAGCAACAUUAUUCGGAUGUUUCAGCAACAUUAUUCAGAUGUUUCAUUAUUUCAGAUGGGAUUAAUGAUUUUUUUUGUUUCAUUUUUGAAUGCUUUUAAAUCCUUUUAUUUAAUUCUUUCUUGUAAAUUAAUACACUAUUUCAGAUGCACAGUAACACAGUAAUUUCUCAUCUUAUACACAUGUAAGACAUAGGUAUGUGUGUAUGGAAAGUACCAACAGCAUUUGCAACUGUCCUUGAUCUCUGGGUUUGUGGCUUUAUAAGCUGUUUUUACUCACAGUUACAUGUUCUUUGCUAAUCUUCUUGCCUGGUUAUUUCUCAAUUUAUUUUCCCAUGCUCUUGGUCUUCCCUGCUUCAUUCCUUCCUUUUCAUUUCCCUCUUCUAAUUGUGCUGGUAAGCAAUGUUCUUGUCACAAUUCUCUUCCAAUACAGCCAUUAGAUUUGGUACUGUCACUUGAAUUAAUAGCUUUUGCGCGAUUGCUUCAGCUGCUUCUGGCCUCUGAAAUUCCCUCUUCUCAGCCAGCAGCUCUCACAGCUCUGCACAGCAGUUGUCUGUACAAUUUUAAAAGGCUGACUUUUAGUUUCAAGGUAACCUUUCUAUUCUUUCACAUCUGUAGUAAAUUUGCAAUGGGUAUUCUAGUUGUACCUCCUUUGUAAGUAAAAUAUCUUGUUCAUGUGGGCUAUCUUGACCAGAAACUGAGUCUAGAUAGAAAAACUCUUCAGUUUGCUCGAGUCCUUCCCUUGCGCGGCAAUUUUCACAUCUUGUUCUCCAUGAGUACCACCUAAUGAAUUGUACCUCAAAACUUUAACAGAUUUCAAUUCACUUUCUUUAUUUUUAACUGUCAGUGAACUUACCGGCUGCAUUUGUAGACCCUUACAUAAAGGUGAGAUUUAAAGGGGCAACAGAAUACGUCAAAUUAUUCACACAAACACAUUGACCCAGCUUCAAACUGCCACAGCGAUAUAAUGCUGCCACAGCGUGAACAGGACCUAUGUAUCGAUAACCAGCAUAACUGUGCAGCACAAAGUCAAAAGCUGGAUACAAAACAGCCUCGAACUGUCUCCUGAAGGCUGUCAUCUCCAAUUAAUCUGACGGAGAGACCUCUGGAGGGAAGAGACUGGCACCGAUGUCUCUGGCACUACCGAAUCAAUGCACUCACCAGCUGAACAAACAUUCACUUACAGAACGUUUAAAAGGGAUAAAUGCACAAAACCGUUUCAAAGUGACACUAGCAUAAGGAAGCAGGGGAC